rnacentral:lncRNA from 10 species
ACUUUCACAUGUGAGGACAUGGUGAGAAGACAGCAAUCUGUGAACCAGACAGCAGGCCCUCACCAGGCACCAAAUCAACUGAUGCCUUGACCUUGGACUUCUCAGCCUCCAGAACUGUGAGCUAUACAUUGCUGUUGUUUAUAAUCACCCAGUCUAUGGCAGUUUUUAUAGCAGCUUGAAAGGACUAAGAGAAUUACUUUUAUCUCUUCCCCCCACCCACAUACAUGUGAGCAGAGUGGUCCCUUCUUCCCCUUUCUGUGCUGUACUCUGUCCUUCUACCCAUCACAGCCUUCCUCCUGCUGUGUCUGAAGCACCCAUUUCUCCGUUUGUCCUACACACAAAUCUCAGCUCCUUCAGGGCCUGGUGUUUUUCCCCCUCUGCAUUUCCUGGGCUGGACCCUCAUAGGUACCCCAUCAGAAUCUUUCACUGCAGACCCGUGGCAGCCAGCAGGUGCCAUGGCUCCCUGGACUCUGUGGGUAGGAUUUGGGCAACUUGAAUGUGUUUAGGAUCCAGCCAUGGUUCCCAUUAAGGCCACAUAAAAGGCCUGAGCUGGAGUCAUCUCUAAUCCCUCCUUAAAAGGGAGGCCCAGGGGAGACACAGGCCGCCACUCCAGGGCCCCAGGGUCCCCUCUGUGUUUAUGACAUGGCCUCAGAACAUGCAGUUUACAGGCCAGAAGCAGCAUGAGGCCCUUGGCCACAGUCCUGGCCAUCCCCUUAUUGACCUUCUCUCUGAGCCCAGCAGGAAGCAGGCCUCUGUUCUAGGACUUUGGAGCAAAAGGUCACUUCCUGGGCCAGAGUAACCACGGCAACACCAUUCCCCUGGCAGCCUUGGACUAGCAAAGUGUCCUCAUAGCUCUGAUUUUGUCUAAAUUUAUCAUUUCAGGCUAAGGAAGGCCUUGUACUGGUUUUAGAGCCCUGGACGGAGCUCCAGGUGACAUGGGCCUUCCUGGUUCUACCACCGACCUGCUGGGGGUUUCAGCAAGCCUUCACCUUCCACGUUGGCGUUCUCAGCUCUAAGAAAAGGAAGUUGAUUUCCAUGAGAGGUGAUCAAACUGUGCUGUAGAAACCUCAGCGAUUCCACAGAACAUUAGAGUACCUCUGCCAAGCAGAAUUCUCCACAUGGAGAAACCUCCCCUCUUACUGAUUUUAUAUGCCAUGCAUGUCAACGCUCUGGGGAAGAUUUUUUGCUUGAGAAAAAAAAAAAAUUCUUGCUGAUUAAAGAAAAACAACCCUGGAAAGUGCUGAAUAUGGUAUCUAUGCAUUUAUUAUGGAAAUCUAGAUAGUUUGCACUGAGAUCAUAGAUGGUUCUCAUAGAAUGGGACUAGGAGGAUUCAAGGAAAGAAGACCUGCUUCCUGUUUCCCAGCCCGUAAACCCUUGCUGUUGUUUUCAAGAUUUUUAUGAUCCUUUCUGGGCUGUGAUGAGAGGGCCUGGCAGGGGAGCCGGCUGCCUCCUUAUCGAAGACUCCCUGCCUCAGUGCCUAGAGCCAGGCUCAGCCCUGGUGAGGAGGGACAAUCCUGGCUGGGUAGGUCAGGCAGCUAAAAGUUGGGGGUCAGGUCCCCUACUUCAGCGGUCCCUAACCUUUUUGGCAUCAGGGAAGACAAAAAUCGGAAGACAAUUUUUCCACAAACUGGAGAUGGAGGGAUGGUUUCGGGAUGACUCAAGCACAUUACAUUUUUGGUGCACUUUAUUUCUAUUAUUAUUACGUUGUAAUAUAUAAUGAAAUAAUGAUCUAACUCACCAUAAUGUAGAAUCAGUGGGAGCCCUGAGCUUGUUUGCCUGCAACUAGAUGGUCCCACCUUCAGGGGAUGAGAGACAGUGAUAGAUCGUCAGGCAUUAGAUUCUCAUAAGGAGCACACAACCAAGAUCUCUUGAAUGAGCAAGGGCUCGCAUGCACAAUGGGGCUCGCACUCCUGUGAGAAUCUAAUGCUGCCGCUGAUCUGACAGGAGGUGAAGCUCAGGCAGUAGUGCCAGCAAUGGGGAGUGGCUGUAAAUACAGAUGAAGCUUUACUGGCCUGCUGCUCACCUUCUGCUGUGCAGCCCGGUUCCUAACAGGCCAGGGACCGGUACUUCUUUUUUUUUUUUUUUUUUUUUUUUUUUUUUUUUUUUUGAGACGGAGUCUCGCUCUGUCGCCCAGGCUGGAG